ensembl:lncRNA
UUCUGUCAGGUUGAUAGAUGAUCACGAUAAAGCUGCAAUGUGAUAAUCAGGCGAGAUUUUUGAGUUUUUAGUCUGACAAAUUUAGACUUCGGGCGUUAUAUGAUUGUAGUGUUGGUUGGCACUGUUAGUUUGGAGACACCGACAUCGAACCAGGUUUAACCGAGGUCAUUGAUCCAGAGAGGGGGAGAGGGAGAGGGAGAGAGAGACAUGGUACCUCAUCCUCAUCCUCUGUGGUGCAGUGUAUGAGAGAGAGAGAGAGUGUGUGUGUGUGUGUGUGUGUGUGUGUGUGAUGCCACGCAGGGUGAUCCCUCCUCUCCUCUCUCGGAUCCUCUGAAGCGCUGACAGAGAGCGGACAGUCGCCCACAGUAACCGGCUCUGCCUCUGGCUUAUCUCAUCUCGGCGGAUCAACCCCCCCUCUCCACCCCCAUCCCAUCCCAUCCCAUCCACCCACCCCCUCGGUGCCGACCCAUGCCUGCUGUUACCCCUUGUAUCAUCUGAGUCACACACACACACACACACACACAGAGAGAGGAAGAGAGAUGCGGUCUCCCUUUGUGUGUUUCACUUUCUUCGCUCCCAAGGACCCGAGGUAUCUCUUCGCCGGAUCUUUGUCUCUGGAUGGCGGCGGAGGCUGCGCGCUGCGCGCUGCGCGCACUCCGGAGCAGCAGCAGAUGCGUUGAGCAACGCGGCUAAUAGCACUUAUCUUUCUAUAUUGACCACACGCCUCAUGCUAAAAUUCCCCACACUCAUGAGAAGGCAACGGGAAGCAGAUUACUGAGGGAUUAUACCACAGAUUCAGGAUUUGACUGCUGUCCAACUGUGGAUCUCACUCGGAAUGAACUCCUGUGACUGGCUGACUGACUGAGAGACACUCUGGUGUCAUGGAGGAAGAGGAGGAGCCAACGGAGUCUCAUUGAACGCCGCCUCCCCGUCUCCUGUCUCAGCAUCGAAGGCUUUGACUGGCCAAUGAGGAUUACAAACAGCAGAGUGCGCAGAAAGGGAGAGGAGUGCAGAGCUGACCGUACGCCUGUUGCUGUCCCAUGAUGCAUCUACACAUGAAAGAGCAGGAUCAGCCACACAGAGGGCUGUUUCUAUGGAUACCCCUGCCCUGGGUAGUAUUAAUAAGACUCACUGAUAUUCUGACUAUUUGUCCGUGAAGGAAAUACAGAGAGAUUAGAAGUGUAUCCCUGCAGCGGACUUACAGCAUCAGAUAACAACUGUGGAGCAGUGAAGGGCACCAUCAUUAAGUGUUAACAUGAAAAUGACAUUUCUAUUAUUCGUUUUUUAGAUGUACUGUAGCUGCUUUACCAAAACAUGUUUAAACCUGGAGCCGCACAAGCGCUGACAAAAGCAAAUGUUAGAAUACUUUCUACUUGGUUUCAUAUAUUUUGAUCCUUUCUGAGAUUCAAUUUUUUGCUCAGACCCUCCUUGUCCCACACUCCUCCAAAAUCAGUUAGACAAAUGAUUUGAAAAGUGUGAUUUAUACAAACCUGCCCACACAGUAAAAGAGGAUGUGAAAUGAUGCACAAAGAAACGUUCUCUUAGGCCUGGAGCAAAUUAUUACCUUUUGGGAUGCCGAAAAAACUGCCACCAUCUUCCACCAGGUUAGUCGAGGCAUUCAAUUUGGGCCUUUAUAUGAUAACAGACAUCUACUGUAUAUGCACCCGCUUCCCAAAGAAAACUCGUGCGUCUACUGAUUCUGGACUCACCAGCAAGAUGUGGCACUGUAUGCACCAGAUGAUACAGAAACCUUUUUAAUUUAGGAAAUUGUGGGGAUUCAUGAAGUACAUCAAACUACCUGAAAUCUAUCCACCAUCUGCCUCCA